rnacentral:tRNA from 1 species
GUUUUAAUAGUUUAAUUAAAAACAUUGGUCUUGUAAACCAAAAAUAAAGUAUAUUUUUAAAACU